rfam:Triticum aestivum genome assembly, contig: Triticum_aestivum_CS42_TGACv1_scaffold_227631_3B
CUUAUACUCUCUUCGUCUUAAAAUUCCUGUCUUAAAUUUGUCUAGAUACGGAUAUAUCUAAUACUAAAGCGUGACUUGAUACGGAUAUAUCUAGACAAAUUUAAGACAAGAAUUUUGGGACGGAGGGAGUACUUC